rnacentral:tRNA from 1 species
UACGAAGUGGUGAAAUGGAAAACGCACAUGACUGAUAAUCAUGAAAUUGUAGGUUCGAAUCCUAUCUUUGUAG